UUAAAUUGAAGAGUUUGAUCAUGGCUCAGAUUGAACGCUGGCGGCAGGCCUAACACAUGCAAGUCGAACGGUAACAGGAAGCAGCUUGCUGCUUCGCUGACGAGUGGCGGACGGGUGAGUAAUGUCUGGGAAACUGCCUGAUGGAGGGGGAUAACUACUGGAAACGGUAGCUAAUACCGCAUAACGUCGCAAGACCAAAGAGGGGGACCUUCGGGCCUCUUGCCAUCGGAUGUGCCCAGAUGGGAUUAGCUAGUAGGUGGGGUAACGGCUCACCUAGGCGACGAUCCCUAGCUGGUCUGAGAGGAUGACCAGCCACACUGGAACUGAGACACGGUCCAGACUCCUACGGGAGGCAGCAGUGGGGAAUAUUGCACAAUGGGCGCAAGCCUGAUGCAGCCAUGCCGCGUGUAUGAAGAAGGCCUUCGGGUUGUAAAGUACUUUCAGCGGGGAGGAAGGGAGUA
rnacentral:rRNA from 1 species